rfam:Oryza sativa Japonica Group DNA, chromosome 1, cultivar: Nipponbare, complete sequence.
AAAAAAAACAAACCCUGGUUUCCAUGUCCAACAUUUGACCACCCGUUUUAUUUAAAAAAAUUAUAAAAAUAAAUUAAAAAGAUAAGUCACACAUAAAAUAUUAAUCAUGUUUUAUCAUCUAACAACAAUAAAAAUACUAAUUAUAAAAAAAUUUCAUAUAAGACGAACAGUCAAACGUUGAGCAUGGAAACCUAGGGUUUGUCUUUUU